AGUUCUCCCAAGUUGAGGAGGCCCUGCUCGACCUUCUUUCUCCCACAGGGUAUGCAAGUCUGCCCAUUCCUGACAGCGAGGGUGGUUCUUUGAAUGCAGCUGGUGCUACACAGUGCCUUCCCUCCCAGGCUCUGGGUCCUGCUCAAGAAGGUACCCAUCCCUCCACAAGUGGUACACCGCAGGGAGAGUUUACUGUCAUGGUGAUUGAAGGCGAGGAGCGGAGAAUCCCAAUAAUAUCUGAUAGCAGCCUUGAGUCAAGGUUUCAUGGAGGAGAUUAAGGUGGCACCUCAGCUUCUUAAUGUAAAUGAAGUACGGGACCUUAUUUCCGACCUUGUGGGGACUCAAAGAGAGGCUGUGUCUUUACAGCGGGAGAAUGUGGCACUGCAGCGGGAGUGUGUUGCAAUGCAGCGGGAGACUGUGGCUGCCUUGCAGAAAUUAGCUGAAACACCAGCAGCCAUCCUAAAACUUGUCCAGGCUAUGGGAGGCCGAAUUAAAUAGGAACCCAUAGGUUUUCCCCUCAUUUAAGCACUUAAGGUUUAAAUCAUAUAGAAUUAAGCAUUUUUAUUUCCUGGAUUUUUUUUUCUCCUUUAAUCACUAAGUUAUGACGUAAAUCUUAGAGGAUCAAGUUAU